rnacentral:misc_RNA from 1 species
GAUGAAGAACGUAGCGAAAUGCGAUACGUAAUGUGAAUUGCAAAUUCAGUGAAUCAUCGAGUCUUUGAACGCACAUUGCGCCCCCUGGUAUUCCGGGGGGCAUGCCUGUCCGAGCGCCAUUGCUGCCCUCAAGCACGGCUUGUGUGUUGGGCCCCGUCCUCCGAUCCCGGGGGACGGGCCCGAAAGGCAGCGGCGGCACCGCGUCCGGUCCUCGAGCGUAUGGGGCUUUGUCACCCGCUCUGUAGGCCCGGCCGGCGCUUGCCGAUCAACCCAAAUUUUUAUCCAGGUUGACCUCGGAUCAGGUAGGGAUACCCGCUGAACUUAAGCAUAUCAAUAAGCGGAGGA